AACGAACGCUGGCGGCGUGGAUAAGACAUGCAAGUCGAACGGGACAUUGCUUGUAGCAAUACAAGUAAUGUCCAGUGGCGCAAGGGUGUGUAACACGUGGGCAAUCUACCGAAAAGUGGGGAAUAGCUCGCCGAAAGGCGAAUUAAUACCGCAUGUGGCCAAGGAAGACCUCUUCUGGCAGCCAAAGCUGGGGCAACCUAGCGCUUUUUGAUGAGCCCGCGGCCUAUCAGCUAGUUGGCGGGGUAACGGCCCACCAAGGCUAUGACGGGUAGCUGGUCUGAGAGGACGACCAGCCACACUGGAACUGAGACACGGUCCAGACACCUACGGGUGGCAGCAGUCGAGAAUUUUUCUUCAAUAGGGGAAACCCGUAGAAGGAGCGACGCCGCGUGGAGGAUGAAGGUCUUCGGAUUUGUAAACUCCUGUCAUUCGAGAACAAGGCCUGCGAAGUAACUGUCGUCAGGCUCGAUAGUAUCGAAAGAGGAAGGGAC
rnacentral:rRNA from 1 species